UACGUAGGGUGCAGGCGUUACUCGGAAUUACUGGGCGUAAAGCGUGCGCAGGCGGUUUCUUAAGUCAGAUGUGAAAGCCCCGGGCUUAACCUGGGAACUGCGUUUGAAACUGGGAGACUUGAGUGUGGCAGAGGGGGGUGGAAUUCCACGUGUAGCAGUGAAAUGCGUAGAUAUGUGGAGGAACACCAAUGGCGAAGGCAGCCCCCUGGGGCAACACUGACGCUCAUGCACGAAAGCGUGGGGAGCAAACAGG
rnacentral:rRNA from 1 species